AGGUUAGUAGGUUGGUCAUGCCUCUGGUAUGUACUGGUCUCACUGAUUCCUUCUUCCUGAUGAACCUUAAUGCCAUUAAUUUGGUGUUUUGGGGAAUUUGGACUGUUACUUUGAAAAAGUUAGAGUGUUUAAAGCAAGCUAACGCUUGAAUACAUUAGCAUGGAAUAAUGAAAUAGGACGUUCGGUCCUAUUUUGUUGGUUUCUAGGAUUGACGUA
rnacentral:rRNA from 1 species